UAGGAUGGGUACAGAAUCCCAGUGUUAAUUUCUCAUCAUAAAAAUAGGGGUUUCAAUUUCCAGAAGCUUGUCCUUUCUUUGCCUCCCCAGACUGAAACCCAGGCAGGGUGCAUUUCCCAUGUGUCAAUAUUGAGUGUAAAGACAUUUCUCACAAGUUGAAAAGAAAUCAUGAAAAUAUCUUUACCAACCUCUUUUAGUAGACAUUGACUUUGACAUGGAUCUAAGCUCAACUUAGCUGAAGCAGUUUUCACCAGGGGACAAUAUGUAUUUCUAAAUUGCCUGUAACAUUCUAAAUAAUAAAAGAGCAAGCUAAGGAGGGAGAGAGAAAAAAAAGAGAGAGAUUGAGAGAGAGAGAGAGAUCCAAUAGUUUCCAUCUAAUAAAGUCUGACAAACGAGAGCUAGACAUGGUUUUGGUUUGAUACGGAGAAAGCUGAUAUACAAGAUUACCAGACACUCCUCUGGGGAGGAGUGAAACUUCACCUUUUUAACAUUUUGUUAAUAGGCUGAGUUCAACAGUACAGUGAAAAUGUUCAAAUGGAAGUUAAGCCACAGCUGGUUUAUAAAGUUGCUUUUUGCACUCCUGCACUAAGAUCAACUUUUUGAAAAUAUCAGCAGCUGCACUCUGGACUGUAGUCUCUCACCCAGGAGGGAAGGGUACUUUCCCUCUAAAGCAUCAUGCUGCUUGGGCUGCAGACAGAUGGUACAACCAGGAGCCUCCUGGGCACACAAAUGUGAAACUGUUAGAGAAUCUGGGUGUGAAAGACUCGCUUCUUACAGAAUGACCUAGAAAAUUAGGCAAAUCAUGUAAAGCAGUUGUUGGCCCAGCUAAGUAUCCUUUGACUUCCCUGCUAUCAAUCAGCUAGCUCUGUGCAAGGUGUGUCCACACUCGUUCACUGAAGGAGAGAGAAAGAAAACAUUCAUUAAAAUUAACUCAGACUCACUUUAAAUUCAACUCAUAGAACUAGAGUAAAUUCCUGGGCUGGAAGCACAGAAUCAGCAUUUGUGACACAAAAUCAAGGAGAUUUAUUUACCACAAGGUGCAGAGAUGAUGCCAUACUCUUGCUUUUUACUUCUGUCUAUCGAUCUUGAAUACUCUGAGCCUCCCCAGUCCAGUAACUGAUCAAGCUCAGCAGUGGCUCAUUUUCUGUAGGCCUGUAGCUAUAUAUAGUAGCAUUCUCAGUAUCACAUGAGGGUUUUUUUAAGCAGUAUUUGAAGAAAUACAUGAGUCACCAGAUGACUCCCUUUGAACAAUGAAAGUUUUAUUCACCAGUAUUGUAAAGAUAUGGCCAAAGCUCAUAACAUAUACUCAAAAGAAAUUAUCUGCAAAGACAAUAAAACACCUCUGCAAUACAUUUCCUUGACUGCCUUUAUCUUUAUGUGCUUCAAAACAAAGGAAUUUUUUGUCAUGCGUGUUCCAUCUUUUGGGUCUUCGUGUCUGAUGCGCCCCUUAACUGAGGUUUGUGGGUUUGGUUUGACUCUUUACAAAGAGAGACUGACAACAUGGCUGAUUUGGGCUUGAACUCCAAACUGCCACGAUUCUUCAUGGUGUGGUAAAGGCUUGAUUCACGUCUAUCCUCAUAAGCACUUUCUAAUGUUUGCUAGCACACUGCAUUUUUAGCUGUUAAUCAUGUUGUUUUCAUACUACAUUCCUCUCCCCCAGAAUUCCCAACAUUGGUCUCUUAUUAUAUCUGCUAAAAAAAUCAACCAGCGUAUAUAUAUUUGUCUCCUAAGUCAAGAAGACCACAAGUGGGAGUAGCACUGCAACCAUUAAUGGAGUAAUGGGGCAGUGUUAUCAUUUAUGUUUUCACUGUGCCAGUAAGGACAAGCUGUGGUUUACAGAUUUCACAAUCUUGCUUUGUCAGACAGACAGACUGCUAUGUAAAAUACUCCACAAAAUCCUGAAAGGAACUUGAAGUCAGAUCCAGUUCGAGUUUCAGCUAGAUGAGCCAGCUGAAAAAAUCAAAGAUGAAAAAGGGGGAAAAAAACACCAGACUAUUUCUUCCUAAAUUGUGUCAGUUUGAUUUCUGGCAGACACAGGUUGAGUUUAUUAUUGCAUUUUCUAAUACCCCCAAGCUUUGGGGCAUUUCUCUUUGCAAUUUUGCUGAAUUUAUCAUCAUGCUAUUAGCUCAGCCUGCUUAAUAGUCUGUGUCUGGGAGGCAGCUGGUCCUGCUCCUGAGAGAAGCCCCCACCCCACACAUUUAACACUCUCAAGCCACUGCAAUCUUCCAUUUUCUUUUACUUUUUUCUUUUCCUUUCUUUUUCUUUUCAUUUUCCUUUUCCUUUCCCACUCUCUUUUUCUUUUCCUUUUUCUUCCUCCUUUUCUUUUUCUUUUUCACUACAAUCAUAAAUGUAUAACGUUUGUUUGUUUGAACAAACAUCCUCUCCAAGAUGAAGAAGCCAGGAACAGAAGAAUACAGAACAAUACCCUGGCCCCUUCAAAGUCUGAGGGAAUGCUGUCACUGAGGGAAUGCUGCGAUUGUCCUCAGCGAAGCCAGGAUUUUAGUCUGAGUUUUUCUGCAAAACCAGCUUAUGUGUCACAUCUUUCACAUGGACAUUUCAGAGAAUUAUCAAAAGAAGAUGCUGUUCCCUCAGCAAAUGAUUGCUCUGCCAAAAUACAGAUGCUGCAGGAGGGGAAUUCCUAUUUACCCUAGGUUAUUAUCAAGUGAGUACCCUGAUUCCAGCACUGACUGAAGCACAGAUCAAAAAAGCAGAGUUAGUAGUGCUGGUCAGCAGUGGAGCCACCAGGCCAUCAGAGCCUAGGGCAAGCACAGCACUGCAAUCCUCCUCUAACCUGGCAGCCUCCAGCCAUCCCUACACACCACCCCUUUCUCUCUCUCCUCCCAGGGAAUACCUGUCCUGCUGCAGUUCUGAUAGGAUCACAGCAGGAGGAGGAAAUAUCUAUCAAUCCCAAAUACUGCCACAGCUAACCAUCAUCUUGAUGGCCUUCGCCAUGAGGCACUGACCUUUUCUACACUGCAGUGGUUAUUGUCUUGGGCAUAGCCACUGAGUGGCAUUAAAAAAAAAAAGAGAAAGAGAGAAAUACUAAGCACACACAUCAAUCCACAAAGUAACUCUGGAAAACUGCAGACUAUAGCCACCCUCCAAAGACUUCGUCGUUUUGAGUUAGCUUCAAAAAUUCCACCUCAUCUUCAGCUUUAAUCUGAUAAACCCUGAUGAAGUUUCUGCAAAGCAAAGCCACUAGCCAGUGAACCAAACCAGUCAAGUACAUUAAAUGAGCAGCAACAACUACCAUUAAAGAACAUACAGGUGUUAAACAACAAACACUGCUGAACCCAGAAAUAGCUUUUGUCCUAUUUCUUGCAUCUCAUGCACACAAAGAAGUGUCUGCUUAUUUGUUGCCUGGCUUAGCUGCUGCUUGAUUUUGUCUUUAUAGAGGUUUAUAAACAAACUCUCAGCUUUAGCUCAGUGAAAAGAAAAAAAAGGUCAGUAUCUCCAUUAGUCACCAUUUUCAGCCUUCUCCACCUUUGAUCAUAGCCAGAAGACUCAGAAGUUUCAGAAGAACACACCUGCUAAUGACAGUAUACUUCAGAUCAAUAGUCUGGCGCUAAGAAAAAUGUACCACACAUUAAAUGUUCUUCUCAAUCUAUGCAACAUGCUGGAUCUGGUAUUUUCUGGUUCAUUAGAUAUUUAAAACAGCUGUUUUCAUUUGUAAUAUUUAGUUGUUGAACUAUUUUCUGAUCAGUCAGACUCCACCUUACUGAUUUAGUUAUGAUGGCUUUCUCUUCACGUUCCCCUGCCUAUGUCUUUGCAGUCUGAAGCUAACUCUCUUCCAAGAAUCUGUUUUACAGCUCUAAAGUACCUCUUGCAAAGUCCCCUGGUCACCAUGUAACCUUUCUGCAGUUAGCAUUACAGAUGGCCUUUCCCUAGUCAUUUUCCCCAGAACAUUCUUCCCAUUAAUCUUACAACAAAGGAUGACCUCAUGCAGUGCACUCAAAAUGACCCGACUGCUCUUCUGCAAACAAGAAUGGGUUUUGGAGAAUAGGCAGCAAGGAGAGAGGUAAGGGAAUGAUUUCCACUGUCUCUUCUAACACUAGAGAGGGAACCAAGUGAAACUUGUAGGCAGAAGGUUCAAGCAGAAAACCACACCUGGUAGCUCAAAUAAUUAAGUCUCUUUUCAUGGGAAACUGAAAAUGCCAAAAAAUUACAUGAGCUUUGCAAAGAAAGAAUUAGAUAUAUUCAUGAGGAAAAUAAAUUCAUGAAGAAGUGUUAAACAAGUUGUUCUUUCCAGCAAGUGAACUGCUGCCCCAAGUAUACCAAUUUUAAGAGAAAGUACAGAAGCCUACUCUAAUGGUCCCCUUCAGGUACUGGAAGGUCGCUAUAAGGUCCCCCUGGAGCCUCCUCUUCUCUAGGCUGAAGAGCCCCAACUAAUCUCUGCCCUUUCAGAUGCCCAGCACAAGAUCCCUUGCAUGAUGACAAUGACAGCCUCAGAGGGAAACAACAGAAUCAGGAGCAGAGGCGAGGAUCAUGUUUCCUCAAUCUGGGAUGAAUACCAGCCCUAAAUACUAGAAAAGAUCUGCAAGGCCUCAAGAGAUGGGCAUGUCCAAUGCUUAUUCACCACUGCAAAUCCAGGGAUCCUCUUCUGAAAACAUUCAGCAGACCAUCUUGCACAAGGCUAUCACAGCUCAUCAAUUUAUACAGUAAAAAUAAUGUGAAAAUUUGAGCAUUUAUUAAUUACUUUUCCAUCAUCUGUUCAUUUUGUGUGUCUUAACAUGUGCACAUAUUAUUGUCUUUGGCUGGUUUGCUUGCUUAGCAGUCAUUCCUCUGAGGCACAGGUGGAGAAGUCCAGUCCAUCUGCCUAUUGCCUCUGCAAGCCAGAGCCAGCUGUACCUAUGCAAUCUCUGACAGCUGUUUUUUUAACAGAACCAAAAGAUCCUGCUGGGAGAAACAGUGAGGGGUCUCACAUUGGAGGACUCAUUGUUCUUCUGUUUAUGAGAUGAGUUUUGCUUGUUAUUUUGGAAGGUGAGUGGAAGCAUCCCAUUGUUCAACAUGGUACUCCUGGUACAAUAACCAGGAGAUUUUAAUUUAAAGAAAUACAAGGAUGACUUUUGCCUGCCACACAGAAAUAAAAAAAGACAAUUUCACAUCUGGA